AGUGAACGCUGGCGGUAGGCCUAACACAUGCAAGUCGAACGGCAGCACAGUAAGAGCUUGCUCUUACGGGUGGCGAGUGGCGGACGGGUGAGGAAUACAUCGGAAUCUACUUUUUCGUGGGGGAUAACGUAGGGAAACUUACGCUAAUACCGCAUACGACCUACGGGUGAAAGCAGGGGAUCUUCGGACCCUGCCCGAUUGAAUGAGCCGAUGUCGGAUUAGCUAGUUGGCGGGGUAAAGGCCCACCAAGGCGACGAUCCGUAGCUGGUCUGAGAGGAUGAUCAGCCACACUGGAACUGAGACACGGUCCAGACUCCUACGGGAGGCAGCAGUGGGGAAUAUUGGACAAAGGGCGCGAGCCUGAUCCAGCCAUACCGCGUGGGUGAAGAAGGCCUUCGGGUUGUAAAGCCCUUUUGUUGGGAAAGAAAAGCAGCAGGUUAAUACCCCGCUGUUCUGACGGUACCCAAAGAAUAAGCACCGGCUAACUUCGUG
rnacentral:rRNA from 1 species